rnacentral:rRNA from 1 species
AUUGAACGCUGGCGGCAGGCCUAACACAUGCAAGUCGAGCGGAUGAAGGGAGCUUGCUCCUGGAUUCAGCGGCGGACGGGUGAGUAAUGCCUAGGAAUCUGCCUGGUAGUGGGAGAUAACGUCCGGAAACGGGCGCUAAUACCGCAUACGUCCUGAGGGGGAAAGUGGGGGAUCUUCGGACCUCACGCUAUCAGAUGAGCCUAGGUCGGAUUAGCUAGUUGGUGGGGUAAAGGCCUACCAAGGCGACGAUCCGUAACUGGUCUGAGAGGAUGAUCAGUCACACUGGAACUGAGACACGGUCCAGACUCCUACGGGAGGCAGCAGUGGGGAAUAUUGGACAAUGGGCGAAAGCCUGAUCCAGCCAUGCCGCGUGUGUGAAGAAGGUCUUCGGAUUGUAAAGCACUUUAAGUUGGGAGGAAGGGCAGUAAGUUAAUACCUUGCUGUUUUGACGGUACCAACAGAAUAAGCACCGGCUAACUUCGUG